rnacentral:rRNA from 1 species
AGACAGAGGUGGCAAGCGUUGUUCGGAAUUACUGGGCUUAAAGGGCGCGUAGGUGGUGGCGUAAGUCCGGGGUGGAAUGCUGAGGCUUAACCUCAGAACUGCCUUGGAAACUGCAUCACUUGAGUCAGACAGGGGGAUGGCGGAAUUCCCGGUGUAGCGGUGAAAUGCGUAGAUAUCGGGAGGAAGGCCGGUGGCGAAGGCGGCCAUCUGGGUCUGAACUGACACUGAGGCGCGAAAGCGUGGGGAGC